rnacentral:lncRNA from 1 species
CACGAAUGCUUUUAUACUACUACUUCAAUUUUUAACCUUUCACCUUUGUGAAAGAUGCUUGUAAGUUAUUGUUCCUAUAUUAGUCUUCAUACGAUACAUGUGUUUACACUUUGGUUUGAUUUAAUUCGAUUGGGGACAAGAGUCCACAGGCUGGGCUUCAUGUUAUCAUGUGUCACCUUGCGAUGUCUCUCCUCCACAUUCCUUUCUCCGUUCUCUCCUCUAAUAAUAAAGAAGAAAAAAAUUAUGAUAACAACAAUAAAAACAAACUGAAAUUCGGAGGCAAGGAGAGAGAGAGAGAGAUAUCACAUCCAUCCCUCAUUCCUGUCCCUCACAGUAAUUUCAUAAAGUAUUCUUUGCAAGAAGACAUUAACCAUAAUAAUUCAAUAUAAGCAUUAAUCAAAAGCAAAUAACAUAGUAAGGUAUUGAAUGUUUUAUAAAAACCAAAGAAGCUGUAACAAAAGAAUGUGAAUUCAAUGAAAAUGCCAUUUUAUAACAUUCAUAGAAAAUUAAGUAUCACUAUUUGUCUACU